rnacentral:lncRNA from 1 species
UUAGUAUGUAUGCUUUGUGAAAGGAACUUGAUCUCUCAUUGGUCCUGGAGACAACAGCACCUGGAAUUGAACCUGGCACAUAAAGGUAAUGAGUAAAUAUUUUCUGAAUGAAAAAAAAAAAAAAUGGGCAGAGGAAGAAACAGUACUCAGUAGGUCAGAGAAGAGUUGGAAAUGUUGUCCAAAGUUCUGGACUCUCUAGUCCAACCUGAUGCUGUAAUAAAUGAUGCUUUCUUCAGAAUCAUUGCAACCCUUGGGAUAUGGCCAAUGCAGUAUCUUGCAGUGAAUGGUCAAAAAUGCCCUUUAUUGAUUUAAAAAUGGAUAAAGGAAAGACCCUGGAAGUAUUUAAUUAAACCUUUCUUGGGAGAGAACAAAAGGACAGGGGCUGUAUCUCCAGCGUUAUCUUGAGACUGGAGACUUGGCGAGUUUGAAAUGUUCUUACAAUAGCUUGGCCACACUUCUGUCCUAGGAAGGUCUGUGCCCUGUGGAGGGAGUAAGAUACUUUAUUAAGGUAUAAUAAUAAUAAUAUAGGUAUAUAAUAUAACGAUAAUCAUAUAGGUAUGAUAAUAAUUAAGAAUAUCUACCACCUGCCGGUCAGCUAACCUGUUUUCCCUUUGCCAUCUCUGCUCACCAGAUACUUUUUUGGGGUAUACAGAUAUAUAUAAUUAACAUUCAAAAGUAUAAAUUCAUAUUUAGAAUAGAUAAAAAUUGGGGUUCAUUCAUAUAGCUUUGCCUUAUUCUCUUAGAUCUGGAUGCUUCUUCUGAUAGCUUUAGCAACCCAGUAUGUUUAAAACAUCGUUCAACUGCUUGGAAAGUUAUUGCUCAGUUCUUUUAAAAAGUGAUAUGAGUGCUAUGUGGACCAGUCAUCACUUUCUCAACAACCGGAUUCCUUAUAUGGUAUCGUCCUUGGGGACACCUUACCACGGGUUAUCUGGGCAGCUCCAUUUACCUUUGCCUUGGGAGUAUUAAUGCACAAGACUUGUGCUCACUUCUUUGCCUCAGGGCCUAAAGUUUCAUGGAAUGGAACUUUCUGAAUUAAACAUGAAGGUGGAGGUACGUAGUUAAACAACAACAACAAACCUUUUGUUAACAUCCAAGACCGAAUGCCAGCAGUCAGACUGGCAGGUUUCGGUAGCAUCUUCCUGCUUGGUAGCCUGGUUAAAUAAAGAGUUGUAAGAUUGUGUGCUUUCUUUGCUUUUGGGGGGCUACUUGGUGGUCUUGAAGAAUCCGCUCUGACCCAGGAUGUACAGUCCCUUCGUUUAGGGUCAGCCUGCCGCUAGCAUUAUGUUUCAGCUGUCUUGAAGUGAGAUCUGUCAGCUGCUUCUGUUACAGUUAGAGUGUAUGAAUUCAUUCUCUUUUUUUCUUUAAGUUUUAAUUCCAGUAUAGCUGACAUAUAGUGUGACAUUUGUUUCAAGUGUACAAUAUAGUGAUUCAGCUAUUCUAUACAUUACUCAGUGCUCGUCAUGAUAAAUGUACUCGGAAUCCCGUCACCUUUUUCACCCAUCCCCCCACCCACCUCCCCUCUGGUAACCAUUAGUUCGUUCUCUUCAGUUAAGAGUCUUGGUUUGUCUCUCUCUCUUUUUCCUUUGCUCGUUUGUUUCGCUUCUUGAAUUCACAUAUGAGUGAUAGCAUAUAGUAUUUGUCUUUCUCUGACUGGCUUAUUUCACUUCACGUUAUACUCUCCAGCUCCAUCCAUGUUGCUGCAAAUGGCGAGAUUUCAUUCUUUUUUAUGGCUGAAUGUGAAUUCAUUCUUCAGAAUACGUCCAAACAUCCUUUGGUACGUUUUAGCCUUGAAAAGAGUUUUUCCAACCAAACAUUCAGAGCCCAGACCCUCAAGGUCCCAGAGAUCCCAUCUAUUUAGCCCUCAGUCAUCUGGGGAAGCAGGAGGUCAAAUAUGCCAGAGUGAGUCCCGGCCAUCUUCAGUCUUCUGCCUACUGACUGACCCAUGUGGCUAGUUCUCUGCUUUAUAUCCCCAUAACUCACUUUUUGAGAACCGAUUGACAGACAUCUGCCCUUUCUGUCAUAUAAGUAGCAACUCCGCCCAUGCUACUUGGAAAGUUCCUAGAAUCUUCCCCGCUCCAUCGUGGCAGCUCCAUCAUCAGACUGUGAGGAUGCCCAAGAUGAAUUUGCAUUUCAGUUAGUUUCAGAUGGUGCUCACCUGUGCUUUCUCGUACUCAGACCUAGCUGGUGCUUUAAGGGCCAGGAUGAGGUUGCUUUGUGUUUCUGUCAGGCCAGAUAGAGAUUUUCAGACUUCUUUGUCCAAGGUUGACCAGUUUAGAAGUUAUCCGUAUGUGUGGUCUUGUUUUGGUUCUUUCAUUCUUGUUCUAAUGCCUCUUCCUUACCAGGAUUGCGGAGUCUGAGACUGCUCAUUGAUUGGGGUGUUACUCAGUGGCCCAGCCAUGGAUGGGUUAUGGGUACAUCUGCAAUUACUCUGGCUUCUGAUUCUGAACUGGUGUUUGGCUGCAGACAGGCUUCUGUGCUUAAGGAAUGUCCUGGGGAAGAAUAUGGAAGACACAGGACUGAGCCCGGUAACUAAUUCUGAGAAGAAAACUGCAGAGUCACCAGAAUACCUUGGACCACCCACAAGUGGAACAUUGAUAGAUGGCUAAUCUAAUUUUCCUUGGACUUGUCCAUGCUGCCCAGAACCUGCUGCCAUUUAUCAGACAUAGGACUUCACUGCUGCAGAGUCAUCCCGAAUCUCUUUCACUGGCCAUCUGACAGAAGGAAAAUCCUUUCUGCCCUUGAGGGCAGGGACUAUAUUUUACACUUUUCUGCAUACUCUGCAAUACUUAACAAUGAUUUACACAUAGUAGGAGUUCAUUUCAUUCUGUGGAACUCCCUGAAGGCCAUCCGUUUCAGGGUUUAGCUGGGCUUAUGAAGGACAAGAGAGUCAUUUCCUGAGGUGACGUAUGUGAAAGGGCCCCAAAACACAAAGUGACAGAACAAGAAUAAUAAACUGCUGGUCACAGUCCUUUGAACACACCGCCCAUGUCCUUUUUGCUGUUCUUGUCCACACCAGUUUGUCCCUCCUUUCCACUUGUGUGCUACCCAGCAUCCAAACUCAAGCCGGAUUUCUCCCCGGGGACCCUCCCCAAACCAGGGAACUGCAAUCCCUCCCUCAGUUUCUGACACUUAACUAGUUGGCAUCCACUGACAGAGCAUAUGCUACUAUGGCUUGUCGUAUCUUUAGGUCUUGCUUCCUCAAGGAGACUUGUGAGCCUCCAAUGGCAAGGACCUGCUUCCUGUAAUCCCAGCCUCAGGACUUGGCACAUGGCUGACCGUAGAGAUUGGUUAUCGAGGAUGAUGAAGACGAGGGGUAAACCAGACAUAUCUGCUGCAGUGACUUCUCCCCAGCUUGUCAUUUUGUUUUCUUUUUGCUCAAUCUCCUUCCUUACAGUAGGUGCUCAAUAAGUGUCAGUUCCUCCCCAUCUCUCCUUUUGUCCUCCUCCUCUUCCCUGCAUUGUUGUCUGACCUUCAGUCUGCUCAGAUGCUGCUUGGUCUGCCUUGUGGCCAGAACCCAUCUGAUUCCUGUCCCCCUCUGCCCAAGGGACUCCCCGUCCUCCUGCAUAGGGCUGGAUGUUAAAGGCUCUUUCCACAAAAACCUAGCUGUAAGAAACAGAUUCUCAAGUGUCUGCUCACUCCCAACCUCUCCAUUUUCCCCUCCUUUUCCUCUCUCCUGGAUUGACACUCUACUGUCCACAUCACUCUUCAACCAAAAGAUAUUCAGAUGCUGUGUCUUGAUGAGACCACUUCAGAAAAGAUUCUUUGUAUGCUAGCUCAUGUUGGGGAAGACCCUGUCAUGGCACUUGGCACCUUAGACGGAGAGAGAGGUCCAGAACGUUGUUCUGUUGUAAUGAGAGGACAGAAUGCUGGUGCAACCUUCUAAUAACAUUGUGAUUUAUAAUAAAUAUAUAUUUGGUCUUUGCCCCCUGGUCCUGGCACAGAGCUCCUAAAACCCUUGGAAUUUCCUGUGAAGAGAGCAAUUUAAGGUGUCUUCUGUUAGGUGACUUUUGGGGGUGCCUGGGUGGCUCAGUUGGUUAAGCAUCUGGUUCUUGGUUUGGGCUCAGGUCAUGAUCUCACAGUUUUUGAGUUCGAGCCCCGUGUUGGGCUCCAUGCUGACAGCACAGAGUCUGCUUAGAAUUCUGUCUCUCCCUCUCUCCGCCCCUCCCUCCUCUCAAAAUAAAUAAAUAAACUUAAAAAAAAAAAGGUGAUUUUUGGAUGCACCUAAGGAUGAGGGCUGGUGGCCAGAACAACCAACCAUGUGAUUAGAGGCUGGAGAUUGAGUUCAGCCGCCAGUGGCCAAUGAUUUAGUCACUUGGGCCUACGUAAUGAAGCAUCCAUAAAAACCCAAAAUGAUGGGUUUUGGAGAGCUUCCAGGUUGGUGAACACGUGGAGAUUAGGGGCGAGUAGAACACUUGGAGCGGGCAUGGAAACUCCACAUCCUUUCCCCAUACCAUGUCCUAUGCAUUUCUCCUGUCUGGCGAUUCCUGAGUUCUAUCCUUUUAUAAUAAGCUGGCAAUCUAGUGAGUAAAAUGUAAGUUCUAUGAGCCAGUCUAGCAAAUUAAUCAAACCCAAGGUGAGGGGGGUGCUUGCUGGAACCUCUGAUCUUAUAGCUAGUUGGUCGGAAGCACAGGUGACAACCUGGGCUUGUGACCAGCAUCUAAAGGGGGCGGAGGUGGGAGGCAGUCUUGUAGAACUGAGCCCUUUAACCUGUGGAAUCUGACGUUAUCUCCAGGUAGAUGGUGUCAGAAUUGAAUUGCAGGACGACUGAACCGGUGUCGGAGAAUCGCGUAGUCUGGGGAAAUCCACACGUUGGACUUGGGUGCAGAAUUGUAGUUGGUGUCAGAAUUGUAGACAGUAACUUUUAAAAGCGUCCCAACAAACGUAACUGCUCCAGUAACCCAGUGGCCAUCAGUUGCCAAGUAUGUGAGGUUGUCUAGCCCUCAUAACACACCACCGGCUCUGCAGCAGGGUUCUGGGGAGCAGAGCAGGCCUGUGUUCCCUCAGAGUUGAGUAACGCCACCCAGAAAUGAAGAACAACGUAGCGGCGGAGUGCUUUGGCUCCUACCAGGCCGGUGAUGUCCACUGGAAGUCUGAAAGCAGCCUCCCUCGCUUAAUCAGACCCCAGGCAAACCACAGGCCCACGAUGGUGUCACUUAAGCCAGGUCACCAAACCCGGGCUUAAUGCCUAACCUAAGUGCAGUUUCCGUCUCCCCCAGAAAUGUGAAUCUUAGCCUGUCAAUCAGGGAUUUUCUGAUAAGCACUACAUGGGCCCUCUCCAUCCCCCAAAGAAAAAUGAUGAGCCCACCUAAUUAGACCCCCUGCCCUUAUACCUUAGGGGAGGUGACUUUGCCUUUCUUUUCCUUUCUUUUCUUCUGCUAAUAAAUUUCUUGCUCCACACUCCUUCCUAUAAAAACCUUCCAUUUUGUACGUCAUCACAGCAGCUCCCCUCUACCAGCAUCCCCAGCUAGAUGGGAGCUGUGCUAUUCGUGAAUUGCUUAAUUAAGUCCAUUAGAUCUUCAGAUUUACUCAGUUGAAUUUUGUGUUUUGACAGUGUCGUAGUGGAGUGUGGGCAAAGCAAGACUGGGGCUUGCCCAUCAACCUCAGCCACCCCCCCUCACUCAUGGGAGAGGGCAGCCGAGACUCGAGACUUGAGGGGCUUUUCCUUGAUGGGAGAAAGAACACAAAAGAGAACAUCUUCCUUCUAUUUCGCCUCCCGACCCUUCCCAGAGGCAGAGCGGGGGCGGCCUGGUGGUUGGAGAAGCUUGCCUGAGGGCAGGUGGUCCGGCUGUGACAGGUGGAGAGCAGCAUCAGGACCCGCUGUCCCCACACCCCCACCCCCAUGCGGGCUGGGUUGGAGUGCCACUCCUCCCNNNNNNNNNNNNNNNNNNNNNNNNNNNNNNNCCGUCUCACAGCUGGUACAACUGGAUGCCCCUCCUAAGAUCCCCUGGCCACCUGAGCUGGGACCAGAGCAGGACUCCAACCUGGCCCCAAGUUAUCUCUGGGGCCUAUUUAAGGAGCUGUCUUGUAUUUGAAAACACUUUUUGCCAGGUACAUCGAACAUUUUUAGGAUAAAAAACGGUUUGUCUUUUUCAAAUUACGUGGUAAGAAAGGGAAGGACAUUUUUAUUCUCACAUGUUCUUUGGAUGGCAGCAAAACCUUUUAAAACCUCAUUCAUGGAAUCAAUAAUGCCAAGUUUUCAUGAUAAAUUAUUAACUUAAACGUUGAGUCCUUUGCUUUACCACCUCCGUUCCCCUCCAGGGCAAAAGAAAGGAGUCAUCACUGAUUUUUGUUGUUGUUUCUCUCCCUCUGCCUCUCCCUGUCUCUCCCUCUCCAAUGCUACCAGAGGCCAAAUGUACUCAUAUACAUCAAAAUAGGUGAAGAGAGUUGGAGCAGUGAAUACAUUUACUUUAUGAUUUCCUCCUUACCCUGGCUUUGCAUUUCUGUAAGGGUGGAUUGGCCCUACUCGGUUUUAUAACAGCCUUUCCUGGAAUUCUGCAGAUAUUUUCAUUGCCCUGGAGGUCAGAUAAUGGCUAUUUUCCAUAGUCAUGAAAAUCUCUGGGGUAGUCAUGAAAAUCUCUGGGGUGAGCGGGGCGGGCACUUAACGAGGACUAUUAAAGGGAUGUUAAGCUUGAAGAGGCUGCUCAGGAAAUCACACACCCUUGCUCCCCGUCUGCCGGGCUCUCCUGCCCUGUGGCCAGCUGUGUGUGGAUGUGGCUGGCGAAGGGGAAGAACCCUUUACCUCCUGUUCUCUUACUCUCCGCAAGACGAUAGGUGCCCUAAACUCAAUCAAGUACAGUGGUUCAGAAAAUAGCAGCUGACAAUUCCUGAGCACUCAGUCGGGCGUCUGCUAAGGAUCAUCUCAUUCAGCAAAUGCGUAUCCCAUCCCUUUCCCCACACCCAGGGCCCAGAUGAAGACAGAAGGGAAAUCUGUGUAGGUAGACAGGAGGUCCCUUUGCCGCCUGCUUGCACACCUUCUGGAACAGGAGACUCCCCACCUGCACCAAGCACCCCAUGCGUUUCCAUAUAGUUCAGAAUAUACAUCCUGGACCUAGGCUAAUUAGCUGAACCUGUCCCCUCUGUGCACCUGGAACACCAAUAGAUCCCUCAGUGGCGCCACUGACAGUCUCUGGGCCUGUCCUCUCUGCUGGGGUACAGCUAUAGGAGGGUGGGGGGCAGUGUCUUUCCUUCUGUCUCACCAGCUCCCAGGGCAAAUGUAGAGAGCAGGCAUUUAAGUGAAUGCAGUGAGAGCAAUCGCCGUUGGGGGGAGGCCCCUAGUGGUGAGCCAGCGUGCCCCAAUAUUCCAGGGAACAUCAGUGUUCUUGGGGGCAGGGCCCACAUGGCUCCCAGAAACCUGCCACAGGGCCUCUGGGUUUUGACCCUCUUGGUGAGCUUUAGGCAAUGUAGGGUUUUAACAGGGGACUAGUAUCCCCUUUCCUGAAGGCAGUGAAGAAUCUGACCUGCUCCAGUGGAGUGAGGGACAAACGAAGGAAAGCCAGAGAAAGGCCAAGUCUCCUCCCAAGAGAUUCCAAGUUCCCGAGGGUAAGAAGCACCACGGGAGCCAUGCAGAGCCAAGUGUGUCCCCAGUGGUGCUGAAGGAAAGAGAGUGGGGCUGCCCCUCCCUGACGCUGGAGCGCCCCCUCCGCCCCUGUUCACAGUCCAUCUCCCCAGGAGGCUGUGGUGACACGGGAUAAAGGCCAAGGGACAAGAGGGUGACCUUGGACACAUCACUGAGACACUCCAGCCUUUGCUCAUCUGUAGAGGCUAUAAAGCCCACUUUGCAGAACUAUGUGUGUACUGACUGGAGAAGCAUUGUGAAGGGUGGGGAAGUCCUCGGUCGGGGCCAGCAGUAUCUGGGGUGCAUAGGAAGAAGGGGCUCCAUGAUAUCUUUUGCACCCAGUGCCCUGGGUAAAUUCACAGGAAGGAGGAGAAGGGCCGAUUGUCCUAGAAGGGUUUGCCCACUACCGGAUCACUGGCUAAUUUCUACCUCUUUCCUGCCCGGGGUGAGGGAGCCCACCCUGUCCUUCAGGGUAGGAGCACAGCACUGGCCCCACCUCUGCAGGGAGACCCAGAUGUGUGGGCGAGGCUCUGCCCCAGGGCAACCUGCCCUCCUCAGCCUUUCCUUCUUCCGCACAACACGGCAGGGAGAACAUUCUGUCUGGUUUCCAUGUUUUACCUUGGUGAGGAGCUGGCUCCUGCCACCCAGCCCAGACUUGACCUCAGCAUCUUUUCAACACAACAGUCUAGGCAAACUCAUCCGACAACUACAAUGAGUUGGCAUGUGAGGUGAAACCUUCUUGCCAAUUUUGCUAUAGGGAACAGCCUUGUUUGCCAAAAUGUAACAGUGUUAAUAACUGCUUCUUACCGAGCUCUUGUUAUAUUCCAGGCAUCUUGUUAAGGGUUUCAGGGGCAUUAGCGUCUUUAAUCCUCAUAAGGUCAGGAGGUGGAUGCUGAUUAGUGUGCUUACUUAAUGAUCAAGUGAGACCCAAGAGAGACUGCGCCUCCCUUCACUCAACGUCUAUUAAUGGAGUACCGACUUCCUGCCAGGUGCUCCUAUAGGAGCUGCUGAGGGCAGUGAACAGAAUUCAGUUCCAGCCAGCUUGGGGCUCACAUUCUAGGAUCCAAGCCCCGAUUCACCCCCGGAUGUUUGGUCUGGACCCAGGUUCUCAGCCUGCUCUGCUUCUUGGAGGAGGGACAGAGAGGAACCCAGAGGCCAGAGCUUCGGGCUGGAAGGAGUUUGCAUGGUCCUUGAGGGUUCAUGUCCAGAAAUUGUGCCUCCACCCUGAGCUUCUUUCAAAGCAUUUGCAAGCAUUAUAACCAGGAAAUUGGGGCUUCCAGGGGGAGUUGAGAAAGGGUCUAUAUUAGCUUCCUAAGGCUACCAUAGCAAAGCAUGACAAGCUGGGAGGCUUAAAAUUAUAGAAAUUUAUUGUCUCACCGUUCUGGAGAUUAGAAGUCCAAUAUCAAGGUAUUAGCAAGGUUGGUUCCUUCUGAGGACUCAGAGGGAGAAUCUGCCCUUUGGCUCUUCUAGCUUCUGACAUUUGCUGGUAAUCCCUGGCCUUGACAUUCCUAGGUAUAAGAUGUAUCACUUCAAUCUCUCCCUCGACAUUACUUGGCCACCUUCUACUUGAGUCUGGUCUUCACAUGGCAUUCUCCUCUGUGUGUGUGUGUGUGUGUGUGUGUGUGUGUGUGUCCAAAUUUCUCUCUUCUUCUAAGAACACCAGUCAUAUUGGAUUAGGCCCCAGCCUAAUGACGUUGUCACAACUUGAUUACAUCUUCAAAGACCCUAUUUCCAAAGAAAGUCACAUUCACAGGUACCAGAGGUUAGGACUUCAGUAUAUUUUUCUGGGAGAUACAGGUCAACCUCUAACAGGCAUAAUAGGACUUCUGGCCUUUUCCCCACUUCUUUUAAAACAAAAAUGUUAAUAUAGGGGUGCAUGGGUGACUCAGUUGAGCAUUCAACUCUUGAUUUCAGCUCAGGUUAUGAUCCCAGGGUUGUGGGAUUGAGCCCCGCAUCGGGCUCCACACUGAGCCUAGAGCCUGCUUGAGAUUCUCUCUCACUCUCUCUCUCUCCCUCUGCCCCUCUCCCCUGCUCGUGUGCAAGUAUGCUCUCUCUCUAAAAAAAAAAAAAAUUUUUUUAAUGUUUAUUUUUGAGAGACAGAGCAUGAGCGGGGGAGGGGCAGACGGAGAGGGAGACACAAAAUCCGAAGCAGGCUCCAGGCUCUGAGCUGUCAGCACAGAGCCCAGCGUGGGGCUCAAACCCAUGAACCAUGAGAUCAUGACCUGAGCCGAAGUUGGAUGCUUAAACCAACUGAGCCACCCAGGUGCCCAUGACUUAAAAAUCUUAAUAUAAUUCUUUUAGAUAUAAACAACACAUUCACAUGGCACAAAAUUAAAAGAUAUAGUACCUCUCUAUCCCUCCUAACCUUGGUCCUGAGGCCAGUGAGUUCCCUUGCCUGGAGGCACCCGUGUUAGAAUUUCUUGGGCGUCCUUCCAGAGAUAACUCUCUGCACUUACAAGCACCUGGGUCCAUAUGAUGGAGACCUUGGUGUUUUGCACCAGGGUUUUUUCCUUUUUGUGGCACCUCUUGGAGAUCCUUCCAUUCUUUUUCAUGACUGCAUAGCAUUUGAUUCUAUUACUGUGACAUCACAUUUAACCAGCUCCUUAUUUCCUUAUAUGGAAAUUUCACUGGCUUCCAAUCUUUCCUAUUACAAACAGCUUUAAAGAGAAAUCUUGCACACACAUCACUGCAUUAAUCGUGUUUUUUAUUUUCUGCAUUUUAUGAUGCUCUGCCCUCUUGGGACUUUGAUGGUCCUCCUAGGGUUAGCUCAUUCCUAGGGAUAGUAAACACCUUGCCUGAGAGCACUUUUCAUAUGCAAACCACCUCCUUUAUCCACCUCUCUCACACCAAGUCAGUAUUCCCCCUGCCCUAAAUCACCUGUUGGGCCAGGUACCCAACAAGGAGGGGCCUCCCCUUUAGCCCAGAGCCCACUGGAAUGAUUCAAACUGGCCAAUCCUAAAUCUGUCCACACUGGCUUGCCUUGCCUUUUCCAUGGAAAUCACAAUAAACGCUUGUGCCUACGCUUUCCCCUUGCUCCUUCAGCCUUCUGAAUGACUCUGGUUCCCUGUGUGGCACGGCAGACCCCUCUGCUUGGGAAUUGUAGGCAGUAAGCUAUUCUUGUAAAGGCAGUUGUCAUGGCAACAUAUGAGGCGAUAGGUGCGUGAACUAACCUUAUUAUGGUAAUCACUUUGCAAUCUAUAUGUGCAUCAAAUCAUCGUGCUACACACCUUACACUUACAUUAUGUUAUCUGGCAAUUAUAUAUCAAUAAAAUGAAAAAAAAAAAACAAAACAGGCAACAUCUCCAUGUCCGACAUCUUACCAUGCCUGAUUAAAACAAAUCCCAGGUGCAUGUUGGAAUAGUCAUUCUGUGGAUGUGUGCAGCCCUUGCUCUCAGUUAAGGGGGAAAUUUGAGCAAUCUUUUGCUUGGCUCCAUGGGAGCAGUGCUUUAUGUGUAAAGAGAAGAAAGAAAAGCAAUGGGAGGCAUUGGAAAAUAAUAUGUUCAUUUUUUCCCUCUGAUUAUAAAAAUAAUGCACGCUCAGUGGAGAAAAUCUGAAAAAUGCAGAAGAAAAUUUUUAAGACUUAAAACCAACCAUUCCUCAAAAAGUUAAACCUAGAAUUAUCAUAUGAUCCAGCAAUUUCACUCCUUAGGUAUAUACCCAAAAUAAUUGAAAGCGGGAACUCAAACAUUCGAGUGUGCUAAUGUUAAUGGCAACAUUACUCAUAAUAGCCUAAAGGGGAAAACAACACAAAUGUCCACAAAUGUCAUCCAAAUGGAUGAAUGGAUGAACAGCAUGUGGUAUGUAAGUUACAUAUAAUGGAAUAUUAACCAACCGUAAAAAAGGAAUGAUAUUCUGAUACAUGCCACAACAUGGAUGGAUCUUGGAAAUACUAUGCCAACUGUCAUGAUCUGUUCAGGUUGCUGUAACAAAAUACCAUCGUAUGGGUGGCUUAUAAACAACAGAAACUUAUUUCUCGUGGCUCUGGAAGCUGGAAGUCCAAGACCAUGGCAUCUGCAGAUUCUAUGUCUGGUGAGAGCCUGCUUUCUCACUGAUGGUCAUCAUGUCACUGUCACUUCACGUGGCAGAAGGGGUGAUGAUACUCUCUGGGGUCUCUUUUAUAAGAACACUAAUCCUGUUCAUGAGGGCUCCACUCUCUUCCCAAGGCCGCACCUCCAAAUGCCAUCACCUUGGGAUUGGGAUUUCAAUAUAUGAAUGGCGAGGGGGGCGGGCAAUAAACAUUCAGUCCAUGGCGAUAAGUGAAAUAAGCCACAAAAGAAGAAUAUUUGUAUAAUUUCACUUACAUAAGGUACCUAGAACAGGCAAACUCAUAGAGACAGAAGUUGGAAUAGAGGUGACCAGGGACUGGGGGAAGGAGGAAUGGGGAGCUUUUGUUUAAGGAGUAUAGAGUUUCAGCAUGUGGAUGAUGAAAAAGUUCUGGAAAUGGAUGAAAGUGAUGAUUGCAUGGCAUUGUAAAUGUACUUAAUGCCACUGAAUUAUACACUUAGAAGUGGUUAAAAUGGCAAAUUGUAUGUUACAUAUAUUUCGUGCAAUAAAAAAACUAAAACCAUCUAUAAAUCAUGCUGUUUAGGAGAAAAGAUACUCUGUUUCAUUUCAAUCUCCCGUUGUCCCCUGCAGGUGUGUGUUUUGUAACAUACAUAUAAUAGUGAGCUUUUUAGUUUUACAUUUUUAUUAUAAAUACAUCCAUGUCAUUAAAUAAGUUGAAAUCACCUCCUUUAAUGGUUAUAUAAUUUAACAUUACACGCUGUGCAAUGAUUCCCCUCUUGUUGGAUAUUGAGGCUGUUUCUAAUUUAUCAUUAUUAUAAAUUGUGCGGUGAUGAACAUUUUUGUAGAUUAAUAUUUGGCUAAAUUUUACUUGCUUCUUGAAGAUAGAUUUUUAGAAGGAGAAUCACUUGGUCCAAGGGUAUGAACUUUUGGGAUGCCUGGGUGGCUCAGAGGGUUGAGUGUCUGUCACUUGAUUUUGGCUCAGGUCCUGACCCUAGGAUUGUGGGAUCAAACCUGAUGUCAGGCUCCACACUGAGCAUGGGCUCUCUCUCUAAAAUUAAAAAAAAAAAAAAUUUUAAGGAUAUGAGUUUUUAUUUUUAUUUAUUUAAAAAAAUUUUUUUUAACGCUUAUUUAUUUUUGAGACAGAGAGAGACAGAGCAUGAACAGGGGAGGGUCAGAGAGAGGGAGACACAGAAUCUGAAAGAGGCUCCAGGCUCUGAGCUGUCAGCACAGAGCCCGACGCGGGGCUCGAACUCACGGACCGCGAGAUCAUGACCUGAGCCGAAGUCGGCCGCUUAACCGACUGAGCCACCCAGGCGCCCCAGGAUAUGAGUUUUUAAAACUUUCUAUACCCAGUAUCAGAGAUUGCAUUCUAAAAAUUUUAGAAUUUUAUGCUUUGAAUACUAGAAAUUUAUACUUUGAACGAUAUGAUGGGAGGAAGGACAAUUUUUACUAUUCUCUUACUAAGUGUACUGUCAUAUAAAAUAUUAUUAAUUUGGUUUUUUUUAAAUUUUUUUUUAAUGUUUAUUUCUGAGAGAGAGACAGAGUGUGAGCUGGGGAAGGGAAGAGAGAGAGAGACACAGAAUCCAAAGCAGGCUCCAGGCUCUGAGCUCCCUGUCAGCUCAGAGCCCGAUGCAGGGCUUGAACCCGGGAACCGGGGGAUCAUGACCUGAGCCGAGGUCAGAUGCUUAACUGACUGAGCCACCCUUAAAAUAUUUAUUAAUUUGAAAGGCAAAUUUCCACCUUUUAAUUGACGUGGCUUUGAUUAUUAAUGAAAUUAAUGAUUAUUAACAUUUUUAAUGUUCACAGUCAUGCCCAUUUUGUGAAAUGUCUGUGGGGGUUGUUCACCCAAUUUUCUACUGGGGUUUUAGAGUCUUAUACAUUAAGAAUAAUGGCCACUUGUCCUUUUGUAGCAGUUUACUCUCCCAAUUUGCUGUUCACCUUUUAGUUUUGAUAAACCUAUUUCUUAUGUAGGCUUAAGUUUUUUUAAUGUAUAAAAAGUAUUGAUUUUCCCUUUGAAUUUUUUCCGUUGCUUUUAUGCUUAUCAAGGCCUUAUUGCUUUUGAAAAAGUAUAUACAUCUUUCUCCUAUAUUUUCUUUGAAUGUUUUUAAUGGUUCUAAUUUAUACGUUUGUGUUGGUUUCCUUGGGCGGCUGUAACAAAGUACCGCCGACUGGGUGGUUUAGGACAACAGAAAUGUGUUGUCUCAAGUUCUGGAGGCCAGAAGUCUGGGGAUGGUGGACCGGGCCAUGCUUGCUCAGAAAUGCUCUUUCCUUGCUUCUUCCAGCUCCUGGUAGCCUCAAGGUGCCUUGGCUUGUGGGAGGAUAUGACUCCCAUCUCUUCUGACUUCACGUGCUAUCUUCAUAUAAGGACACCAGUCAUACUGGAUUCAGGCCCACCAUGUUCUAGCAUGACCUUAUCUUAAUUCAUUACAUAUGCAGUGACCCUGUUUCCAAAUAAAGUCACAUUCUGAGGUGCAGGGAGUUGGGAUAUAUAAUAUAUAUAAUAGAAAUCUAUUAAUAUUAUAUUAAAUAUAUUAAUAUUAUAUUAAAUUAUAUAUUAAUAUUAUAUUGAAUAUAUAAUAGAAAUAUAUACAUAAUAUAACAUAUAUAAUGUAUAAUAGAAAUGUAUAUAUUAUAUAACAUAAUAGAAAUAUAUAAAAUAUAUAUGUAUAGAAAUAUAUAAAUUAUAUAUAAUUUUAAUGUCUUAUAUUACAUUAUAAUUUUAUUUGGAUAUAAUUUUUAUUAAAAUGUGUGCAUAUAUAUAUUUAUUUAUGUAUUUCUUUAUUUAUAAAAAGUUUUUCCAAGGGAUACAAUUCAACCUAUAACAAUGCUUAAUGCUUUCAUCAACUGGAAUUUUAUUUAUUUGGAUGUGUGGUGGGAGAGAAGGUAUCAUUUUUUCCCCCCAGAUGGUUAGCCAGUUGUCUCUACACCGCUUACCAAAUAAUGCUUCCUCUUCCACCAGGAUUGUGGCAUGGACUUCAUCAGACACUAGAUCCUUGCACACUAGUUUCUGCUUGUGAGUGUGACCCACGGGGGCAUCUGCGAAUUCUUGCAUCAGGGCUAUGCUAUUUUCACAAUUUUAGCUUCAUUGUCUAUUUAAUAUCUGAUGAAGCAAAAUUCCUCCUUCGCUCAUUUUCACGUUUGUUCUUAGCCAUUCCUGCCUGUGUAUUUAUUCUGAGUAAACUUUAGAAUAACUGUGGCAUGUUUAACAAGAACAAAACAACAACCUCCUUGGACAUUUAAUUGGAUGGUGUUAAAUCAACAAGUUAACGCUAUAGCACAUUCACUCUUCCCAUUUAGAAACAUAGCGUGUCUUUCUAUCUAAUUAAUUAUAGCGUGUGUUUUAGAAAGUUCACAGAGUUUUAAGAUGUAGUUUUCCCGUUUCCCAUGUUUGCUGCUAAAGUCAAUCCUGAGCAUUUUGUUACCGUUAUUACUGUUGUAAUUAUGCUCUCUACCCCCUGCCACCCCCCCACUUUAUUUUCUAAUUGGUUGUUGCUAGUUGAUGAGGAGGCUAUUGAAUUUUGCAUGCAGCCACUUUAUUAAAUUCGCCUGUUAGUUCUAAUAGCAUUUCAAUUUAUUCUUGUAGGCUCUCUGGAGCCUUUUGCACAAACCAAUUCAAAUGAAUAAUUAACUCUCUAGCUGAAUCAAUGACCUUCCCUAAAUCAAGUCUCUUAUAAAUUUAGGAGUUUGGCUGAAGGAGAAUGAAUGCUGUGUAAGGGCGAUGUGAACAGGGGCCUUGGACAGUUCUGGUAGCCUCAAGAAUGCUUAUAUUCUGUAAUUUCCAAUUUCAGUGCUCAAAUCUGGGCUAAAGAAAAAAUUGACUAGAACUGUGGACAAAAGAAUUUAGGUAUCAAGACGUGGAUUCUGCUGUUUUUUCUUUAUAACAAUGAAAAUUGGAGACGACCUAAAUUCCUAACAUGAGUGAUCGGCUAGGUCAGUGUUUUGUCCCUUGAUCCUCUCCUUCUACCCACUCCACGUAGACCUCUCCCUCAGACUGCAGCCUCAGAAACCUUGCUGCCUGUGGGAGGCUCUGCUUCCAUUCCAGAGGCUCUCUCUAACUCUUCCUGGCCCAGUCAGAGCUCAGCCUCUUCCUUCUCUGCCUCCGUGCGCUGGCGGGACACAUCCUGACAGAGGUUUGUGUCUAGUUACAGGGAAGGAUUGGAAGCAGCAUCCCUAUGGGAGCGGGAGUGAGGGAAGAGGACCGGACCAGAGGAGAAGUUGAACCGCGGCGUAGCUACAACAGAAUCAUCAGCUGAUCCCAGGGGGAGAUCUCCAGCGGGGAUGGCCCUUCCGAGUUGUCCUGAAGAGAGGUGAGGGGGCUGGGCUCUGGUAGCCCCCCACAUCCUCCAGCCACUGGGUGGGGGCUGUGCUUUGAGAGGGUGUAACUUUGGGGGAGGACGGUUCCUGGAGAGAGACCCAGCUGUGAGCGGCCAGCACUCCCAGCAGGGAAACGAGUCCUCCAUCUGGAAUGGGAGGUGGGUGGCUUAGUGCUUCAGAGGAUCCAAAGCAGGCUCCGUGCUGACAGCAUAGAGCUCAAUGCAGGGCUGGAACUCGUGAACCACAAGAUCACGACCUGAGCGGAAGUUAGAUGCUUAACUGACUGAGCCACCCAGGCAUUCCAUGAAUUCUUUCUCUCUGCCUCACUGUCUUCUAGCUGAGGCAUUGGUCUCCUCCGGCCCUCAGACUCAGAAUAGGGAUGGAACUUCACCAUAGGUUCUCCUGGGUCCUCUUCUGAGUCUGAAGGCAGGAGAAGACAGAUGCUAGCCACGUGGGAGGAGAGAGAGGCCCUGUGGAGGAGAACCAAGAGGCUGGGCAUGUGAGUAAGACCAUGGACCUUCCCAGUCAAUGGCUCAAUGCAGCCAAGUGAAUGACCCCAGAGUGUGAAACAGAAGUAUCCAGCCCAUUUCUUUCUUUCUUUAUUUACUUACUCACUUAUUAAGUUUAUUUAUUUAUUUUUGAGAGAGAGACAGAGACAACGAGGAGGGGAGGGGCAGAGAGACCGGGAAAGAGAGAAUCCCAAGCAGGUGCCACGCUACCAGCGUGGAUCCCGAUGUGGGGCUCGAACUCACAGACUGUGAGAUCAUUGACCCGAGCUGAAACCAAGAGUCGGACGCUCAACCGACUGAGCCACCCGGGCGCCCCGUACUCAGCCCGUUUCUUAACUCACAGAAUCAUGAGAGAUAAUAAAUUGUUGUUUAAGGCCACAUUUUAAGCAGGUUUUUAAUGCAGGAAUAGAAAUAACUAAAAUACCUUCCAGCUCACUCCUUUUCCUACAUCAUCUGUUCCAGUUUGUGGCAUCAUGAUCUACCAAAUCAUCCAAGCUAGGCACCUCAAGGUUGCUGUAGACUUCUCUCUUGCCCUCACCUCUAUGCGACAUUGCCACGCUGUACCAAUUCUACCUCCUAAAUAAUUCUCGAGGCUGCCUCUCCUUGAUCUUCCCAUUGCCACCACUGCGUGAGCCAGACCUUGCUUACCCUGGACACGUGCCAUCUAGACGGGUCAUCUCAAGCUCUGUCCUUAGCUGAGGUCGCGUCCCUAACAUGCAUGUCACUCUCUCCCUUGCUUACAUCCUCACGAUGGCUCCCUAUCAGCCGCAGGAUAAAGGUUCAACUUUAUUGGAAGUACUAAGAGCUCUUCUUAAUGGGGGCCAUGCUUACUUGACCAAAUUUUCCUGUUCUUCUAACUAAACUUCACCCCUUCAGUUUUUGCCCCCCACUCGCUGUUUGUCCUUUCCACACCUUCUCUCCAGAGUGCCCACUUUUCCCUCCUUCUCCCAGCUGAUUCUCAGCUUCUUUCUGAAAGCCUUUCUCCUCUCCGCCUUCCACAUCUACCACACAUGCUGGAGACUGGGCACCCUUCCUAGGCGUUCACUGCUUCCCCCGUAUCAUUUUAAAAAAAAAAUUUUGUUUGCAAUGUUUAUUUAUUUUUGAGAGACAGAGACAGAGCAUGAACAGGGGAGGGGCAGAGAGAGAGGGAGACACAGAAUCCGAAGCAAGCUCCUGGCUCUGAGCCAUCGGCACAGGGCCCGACGUGGGGCUCAGGUUUAUGAACGGUGAGAUCAUGACCUGAGCCGAAGUCGGACACUUAACCAACUGAGCCACCCAGGCGCCCCUCCCCCGUAUCAUUAUGUGUGAUGUGUCGUCUGUUCCUUCCAGGGGACCAACCAAGUUGCUUGCUUGUUUGUUUACUUUAAUUCCAGUGUGGUUAACAUACAGCGUGGUUCUAAUUUCAGGUGUACAAUAUACCGAUUCAACACUUCCAGAUACUUCUCAGCGCUCAUCACGAGAAUUGCGUUCUUAUCCCCUUCACCUAUUUCUCCCAUCCCCCCUCCCCUCUGGUAGCCCUCUGUUUAUUUUCUAUAGUUAAGAGUCCGUUUGGGGGUUGUCUCUCUUUUUUCCCCCUUUGUUUCAGUACCUCAUUUUGAAUAAAUACGUGGGUAGAUAUAUGAUACGGCUUUUGCAUUAGUUGGGGUUCUCCAGAGAAGAGAACUAUCUAUCUAUUUUCUAUCUACCGAGAUUUAUUAUGAAGAAUUGGCUCAUUCGGUUAUGGAGGCUGAGAAGUCCCACAGUCUGCCAUCAGCAAGCUGGAGACCCAGAAAAGCCAGUGGUGUAAUUCAGUCUGAGCCCAAAGGCCUGAGAACCUGGGAGCCGAUUGUGGGAGCUGAGGGUGGGAAAUGUCUGAGGGCAGAAGAAGAUGGGGGGAGAUGCCCAGCUUCCACGUUGGGGCAGAGAAAAGGGGCGAGUUCUUCCGUCCUCUGCCCUUUGUUCGUUUCAGGCCCUCAGUGGAUUGGAUGAGGCCCACGCACUUUCGGGAGGAAAACUGGCUUUACUGAGCCCAUUAAUUCAAAUGCCAGUCUCUUCUGGAAACACCCUCACAGACGCACCCAGAAGUAAGAUGUAAUCCGGCCAACCCACGGCCCGGUCGGUCAAGCUGACACAAAAUUGAGUUAACCAUCACGUACAGCCUUUAAAACAGCAUCCCGAAGUAUUUGAAGCAUUUAGCACCGGGGCGACAGCUUAUCACCUGCUGAUAAGAGAAACAAGCCACGUGAAGGGAGACAGCAGAGAAGGCUGCAGACAGUCUGUGCAACUUUUACUCGCGCUUGCUUCGGGGUUACGGAUCAUCCGUUAUUGUUUUUACAUUUCUUUACAUUUUUCUGCAUUUGCCGUACUUUCCGCAAUGAACGGGGAUCGCUGUGAUGAGGAAAGGAAGGAAGAAAGCAAACCCCGGGGGCUCAGGCAGUACUGGAAUCUCUUCGCCGCCCAGAAGAAUCAGUUCGGGGGGGGGUGCCUCCACACCUCGGGCCGUGGCCAUGUGGCUGUCCUCUUCCUGUAGACCUUCAGCUGGACCAGCGGCCACAUCCCCCUCCUCAGUGACCCCUCAGACAGGGGAGAAUCAAGGUGCCACAGGGCAGGCGGGAAUUCUGCCUGGGACUGGGGUGCUG